rnacentral:rRNA from 1 species
AACAGGAUUAGAUACCCUGGUAGUCCACGCCGUAAACGAUGUCGACUUGGAGGUUGUUCCCUUGAGGAGUGGCUUCCGGAGCUAACGCGUUAAGUCGACCGCCUGGGGAGUACGGCCGCAAGGUUAAAACUCAAAUGAAUUGACGGGGGCCCGCACAAGCGGUGGAGCAUGUGGUUUAAUUCGAUGCAACGCGAAGAACCUUACCUACUCUUGACAUCCAGAGAACUUAGCAGAGAUGCUUUGGUGCCUUCGGGAACUCUGAGACAGGUGCUGCAUGGCUGUCGUCAGCUCGUGUUGUGAAAUGUUGGGUUAAGUCCCGCAACGAGCGCAACCCUUAUCCUUUGUUGCCAGCGAUUCGGUCGGGAACUCAAAGGAGACUGCCGGUGAUAAACCGGAGGAAGGUGGGGAUGACGUCAAGUCAUCAUGGCCCUUACGAGUAGGGCUACACACGUGCUACAAUGGCGCAUACAAAGAGAAGCGACCUCGCGAGAGCAAGCGGACCUCAUAAAGUGCGUCGUAGUCCGGAUCGGAGUCUGCAACUCGACUCCGUGAAGUCGGAAUCGCUAGUAAUCGUAGAUCAGAAUGCUACGGUGAAUACGUUCCCGGGCCUUGUACACACCGCCCGUCACACCAUGGGAGUGGGUUGCAAAAGAAGUAGAUAGCUUAACCUUCGGGAGGGCGUUUACCACUUUGUGAUUCAUGACUGGGGUGAAGUCGUAACAAGGUAACC